CACCUUAGAGUUUGGAUCAUUAAGGUAACCUAUAUUGUUGUGUUGUUCCUAAGUUUUGUUUUGUUUUAUUUUUUCACUUUUCCUGCCUUGUGAUUUGAAAUUUUUCAUUUUUUAUUACAGUUAUACUGAUUCUUCAACUAAAACAUUCUUGGGACUUGUAAUAUGAAGCAUCAUAAACAAGGUCAUGCACCACUAAUAAAAUAAAGAUUAUUUGCUUAUUACCCAGAAUGCCUUGGGCUGUCAUUCUGCAUGCAGUCCACUUAAUAAGUAACCCAAUAGUAGAAAAGUUCAAGAGAAGGUGCAGGCCUGUCCAGCUAACAGAAGAAGAGCCAGCUGCCUACACGACUACAUUCCACAUGGACAUAUUUCAGAUUCUCCCCAUACAGACUGCAUGGCUUGGGUCUACCUGGAAAGAAUGAGGUCUCCCCUUCAUUCCUGGGUUCCCUGGAAACAUGAAGCUACACUCAUCACCAACCAUCUACUCCCAUGUUAAAUACAAAAUGGAGAAGAAAUUGUCUAUUUUGAAGGGAAGAGAGAGCUAUCAUCUUUUACAAGUGCCAGAGGUAGUUUUGCUUAGUGCUUCCAAGUCCUUUGUAGACUGAGCACUGAAGUGAAGAGAAUAUGGGCAGCAGAUGCCUAAGAAGAGGAGACGAGAGGAAACAGAAGCCCACUGCUAUGGAUACUUCUACAUGCUGUGUAAUGCUAGAGGGAAGACACAUCUGGCAGCCAGAUGUGGAGGUUACCAAUGAGGAGCCUGGCAAGGAGGUUUCACCAUGAGAGGAGGGCCUGAAUGGCCGACUUUGUGGGUUGCUGGAGAUGGUAGACUCAAGGAGGUCUAUUCAAGUACCUGCCAUUUAGAAUGUGCCCAGAACUGCCAAAUAAAUAAUAGAAUAAAGCAAGGGGAAUCCCUGAGUCUUCAUGGAGCAAGAGCGACACCUUCUUUAGGGGAACAAGGGGCAAGACCAGUUCAGACAGUUGGCAUACAAUGCUGCUGGAAUUCAAAUUUUGAAAUGUCCCACUCUGAAGCUCAUACUAGAACUAUUGGAUGAAGAAAUGCAUGAGGUGACUAAAAUUAUGUAA
rnacentral:lncRNA from 10 species